UACGGGGGGGGUAAGCGUUGUUCGGAAUUACUGGGCGUAAAGGGCUCGUAGGCGGCCAACUAAGUCAGACGUGAAAUCCCUCAGCUUAACUGGGGAACUGCGUCUGAUACUGGAUGGCUUGGAUUCGGGAGAGGAAUGCGGAAUUCCAGGUGUAGCGGUGAAAUGCGUAGAGAUCCGGAGGAACACCGGUGGCGAAGGCGGCAUCCUGGACCGACAUUGACGCUGAUGAGCGAAAGCUAGGGGAGCAAACGGG
rnacentral:rRNA from 1 species